rnacentral:rRNA from 1 species
UACGUAGGGAGCAAGCGUUGUUCGGAUUACUGGGCGUAAAGGGCGCGUAGGCGGCAUGACAAGUCACUUGUGAAAUCUCUGGGCUUAACCCAGAACGGCCAAGUGAUACUGUCGCGCUAGAGUGCGGAAGGGGCAAUCGGAAUUCUCGGUGUAGCGGUGAAAUGCGUAGAUAUCGAGAGGAACACCUGAGGUGAAGACGGGUUGCUGGGCCGACACUGACGCUGAGUGCGCGAAAGCCAGGGGAGCAAACGGG